CACAGUGGUCGAGCGGGAGACCCUCGCUGUGGACCGAAAGCUGCCCUGUACCUGUACCUGUCUACACGGACUCGUGGGAAACGGUCACCGUAAAUCAGUCCCUCAGCUGUGCCCUCACAGCGAUAAAACUCUGCUUGAAGUAUUCCGGUCCCUACUCUACGCCCUGCCCUGGCUUUUGAGAGUUGGUGUCAGACGACCCACACAGAAAAGUCCCGGUCGAUUGCUGCAACUUUUCUUCUGUGGCUGGCUGCGUGGUGCUAGUGCCGUAAUCAUCCACGCACGGUGCUUGGAUUUAAGCCGCGCUGUUUUUAAAGCACUCUGCUGGGUGGUCAGAAACGCUGGAGUCCAGCUCGGAUGGCAGAUUAUCAAUGGCUACAAUAAAACGGAGCCUUAUGAGAGGAUCGAUACGAUGUUAUAAGAAGAACCAGAAAGGGCUACUGUUGCAGUGAGCUGGGUUCGGUGUCUUGGAAGAGGCGGGCCAAAAAGGGCUUCUCACUGGCCUGGAAGUCAUGAAGGAGGCUAAGCUAGCUGGCCAGCAAGACUCAAAGAUCCACUGUCUCUGCUUCCCCAGUGCUGGAUGGAGAGUUCCCAGCCUUCUUCCAAAAGCCUCGAUCUCAUCCGUUGACGGUCCAGGUUUCGCUCACCGGGCACAGCACUGUGGUUGCAGCUGUGGUUGGCCAUUCCUGCGUCUGGGAAUCUGAAGUCAGGUCCUCG